UAGGGAAUCUUCCGCAAUGGGCGAAAGCCUGACGGAGCAACGCCGCGUGAGUUAUGAAGGUCUUCGGACCGUAAAACUCUGUUAUUAGGGAAGAACAAAUGUGUAUGUAACUAUGCACGUCUUGACGGUACCUAAUCAGAAAGCCACGGCUAACUACGUGCCAGCAGCCGCGGUAAUACGUAGGUGGCAAGUGUUAUCCGGAAUUAUUGGGCGUAAAGCGCGCGUAGGCGGUUUUUUAAGUCUGAUGUGAAAGCCCACGGCUCAACCGUGGAGGGUCAUUGGAAACUGGAAAGCUUGAGUGCAGAAGAGGAAAGUGGAAUUCCAUGUGUAGCGGUGAAAUGCGCAGAGAUCUGGAGGAACACCAGUGGCGAAGGCGACUUUCUGGUCUGUAACUGACGCUGAUGUGCGAAAGCGAGGGGAUCAAACAGG
rnacentral:rRNA from 1 species